GGGGUCGCUUGGUUUUGACAGCUUGUAUGUAGAUUUGUAAGCAUGUCGGAGGUUGUGAGACGGUUCCGUUAAAAACUAACUCUCGUUGCCAAUAGAUGGCGAAACUUCUUAUGCAUUCGCAGCUUAAUGUUGCGGAUUCCGAGACUUAAUCAAGGAUUAACGUCUUGGAUGUUUCCUCGGAAGCUCUUCUUUCCGGCGUCCGUUCCGAAGCAUCACAAAGGGGAAGAUAGCAAUCACAUAGCUUUGGUGUGAAAGUGAAAUUUUAAAAGCUAAGGUUUAAAGUAGGUUUGCCUUCUACCGGCUUUAAAUCGAAAAAACAAAGUAAGGCUAAACAUGUAGAAAGCACUUUUGCAACAGGUUUGGACGCGGGUUCGACUCCCGCCGACUCCACUC
rnacentral:tmRNA from 1 species